GAAAAUGGUCCUAUUGACAGCAGCAGGAGUUCAAGUGGCUUGGAUUUGGAUUCUACCCUUGGCCACAAUGUAGAAUGGGAUUCUGUGUAAGACCAUCGCAGCGAGGGGCCACAGAAACAAUCAGGAGUGUGAGGCAGUCUGAAGAGGGCCCAUUUCAUGAACUGAAAAUACACGUUUUUGUGGGUUGACGGCUUCGCUUCAAGACAAGGGGAGAUUGGUACGCCAUUGCCUUACACCGAUGGGACCACUUCCCAGCUCACUACAUCUGUCCUGUCCUGUCCUGUCCUGACCCGCCUUCAUCAUACUCUUCACGUUUUGACAUCAUAGCACCCAAGCCACACAUAACAGUUACUCAACAGUCGUCCGCUAAUGCGAGGCAAACGGCAAGUUCACAGAGAAAAAUCCAGCGACUGCAUUUUGACUUCGGAAUGACAUUCAUGUAGACUGGGAGUCACUUUGUUUCAGUUCAGUCCAGCUAGCUACAAAGUACCUGCCCCCCUCCUUCCCCGUUCCCUGCCCUGAAGCGGGGUAAUCAUAGCUGCCAGUCAAACGAUCGGGUAUAAUUGCGGCACUGUUUAUCGCUAAUCAAAGGUUGAGCCGGCUGACAUUUUCUUAGCGUGAUCUGCUCAGGAUGAGGCUGAUUUUGUUGAGAUUGCGUUCAAAGGUCAAACCGAGGCGGGAUCUGACUUUCGGUGUGACUGCGUCACAGGAAACAUCGCUGCAGACAUGCAGUUAAAUGGGAAAGCACUCCUGAGCCCUGUGCUGACUCCAUUAUGUUUCAACUAAUCCAAUUGGAGCGCUUAAUGGCCUCACGACCGGUUGCAGCGCUUGGAUUUAGGUCAGAUGAUUGUGGCGUGAGGAAACUUAGGACAGUAAAUGUCAAAACACCUGCAGGAAGGAUGCAAUUGGAUCUCGGACGGAGGCCCUGGCUCCCACCGGGGAUGUCUUACCUCUGACUUCGGCUUUUCGGCACCCGCUGCCUUGAAAGCAAAGGCCCUGCCUUCCACAAUGAACGGGGGUCACUGGGCCCGGGGGCCGUCAGGGUGGAAAGAGGCGGGUAGGGAUCUAUGUCCCACAAUUAAAGCAAUUUAGAGGCACUGCAGUGUGAAGUGGCUGGUUCAAUGGAAGGGAAAAGAAACUGCUGGCGAGAAGAUGACGAAGAUGGAAGGGAGGGGGAGAAGGUAAGCUUUCACAGACUUUGCUGUGUAAUCUUGUCAUUGUGGAGACUCACAAUGACAAGAUUAUACUUAGUGUCAUUUCGGGGCCACUUUGAGCAUCAAGAAUCCUGUUUUGUUUUUUUUUCCUGCUUCUCUGUUUUACCACACCACGAAAACGGAUUCGCAUUUAGAAGCAGACCGUUUAGAUGAGGGACAAUUUUGAACUUUUCCUCUCGAACGAUGUCAUAAUAAAAACUCAUAUUAUC